rnacentral:rRNA from 1 species
GNCUCAGAAUGAACGCUGGCGGCGUGCUUAACACAUGCAAGCUCGUACGAGAACACCCUAGCUUGCUAGGGUAAGUAAAGUGGCGCACGGGUGAGUAACGCGUGGGUAAUCUACCUUCGAAUUGGGGAUAACGUUGCGAAAGCGACGCUAAUACCGAAUAACAUCCAUUAAUCUUCGGGUUUUUGGAUCAAGGGUGGCCUCUACAUGUAAGCUACUGUUUGAAGAUGAGCCCGCGUACCAUUAGCUUGUUGGUGGGGUAAUGGCCUACCAAGGCAGCGAUGGUUAGCUGGUCUGAGAGGAUGAUCAGCCACACUGGAACUGACACACGGUCCAGACUCCUACGGGAGGCAGCAGUGAGGAAUUUUGCGCAAUGGGGGAAACCCUGACGCAGCAACGCCGCGUGAGUGAUGAAGGCUUUCGGGUCGUAAAGCUCUGUCAAGUGGGAAGAACCUGCAGUAUGCUAAUAUCAUAUUGCACUGACGGUACCACUGAAGGAAGCACCGGCUAACUCCGUGCCAGCAGCCGCGGUAAUACGGGGGGUGCAAGCGUUAUUCGGAAUCAUUGGGCGUAAAGGGCACGUAGGCGGCCUGGUAAGUCAGAUGUGAAAGCCCGGGGCUUAACCCCGGAAGUGCACUUGAAACUAUUAGACUUGAGUAUGGGAGAGGGAAGUGGAAUUCCUGGUGUAGCGGUGAAAUGCGUAGAUAUCAGGAGGAACAUCGGUGGCGAAGGCGACUUCCUGGACCAAUACUGACGCUGAGGCGCGAAGGCGUGGGGAGCAAAC